UGCCUACGGGGGGCAGCAGUGGGGAAUAUUGGACAAUGGGGGGAACCCUGAUCCAGCGACGCCGCGUGAGUGAAGAAGUAUUUCGGUAUGUAAAGCUCUAUCAGCAGGGAAGAAAGAAAUGACGGUACCUGACUAAGAAGCCCCGGCUAACUACGUGCCAGCAGCCGCGGUAAUACGUAGGGGGCAAGCGUUAUCCGGAUUUACUGGGUGUAAAGGGAGCGUAGACGGCAAUGCAAGUCUGGAGUGAAAGGCCGGGGCUCAACCCCGGGACUGCAUUUGGAACUGUGUGGC
rnacentral:rRNA from 1 species